AACGAACGCUGGCGGCAGGCCUAACACAUGCAAGUCGAGCGAGGACUUCGGUCCUAGCGGCGGACGGGUGAGUAACGCGUGGGAACGUGCCCUUUGCUUCGGAAUAGCUCUGGGAAACUGGGAGUAAUACCGGAUGAGCCCUUUGGGGGAAAGAUUUAUCGGCGAAGGAUCGGCCCGCGUUGGAUUAGGUAGUUGGUGGGGUAAUGGCAUACCAAGCCGACGAUCCAUAGCUGGUUUGAGAGGAUGAUCAGCCACACUGGGACUGAGACACGGCCCAGACUCCUACGGGAGGGAGCAGUGGGGGAUCUUAGACAAUGGGGGAAGCCCUGAUCUAGCCAUGCCGCGUGAGCGAUGAAGGCCUUAGGGUUGUAAAGCUCUUUCAGCUGGGAAGAUAAUGACGGUACCAGCAGAAGAAGCCCCGGCUAACUCCGUG
rnacentral:rRNA from 1 species